GGCCGACUAGCUCAGUUGGUUAGAGCGUCGUGCUAAUAUCAGUUCUACUGCAACUGGUUUGACGCGAAGGUCUUGGGUUCGACCCCCACGUUGGCCA